rnacentral:rRNA from 1 species
CCCCUAAAAAACUACGUCCCACGUUCGGAUUGCAGGCUGCAACUCGCCUGCAUGAAGUCGGAAUUGCUAGUAAUCGCGGAUCAGCAUGCCGCGGUGAAUACGUUCCCGGGCCUUGUACACACCGCCCGUCACACCAUGAGAGCCGGUAACACCCGAAGUCAAUAGCUUAACCGCAAGGAGAGCAUUGCCGAAGGUGGGAUUGGUAAUUGGGGUGAAGUCGUAACAAGGUACC